CUAGCUCGCAGAUCACAGAAGUUAUGAAAGACUGCUCUUUGAUCAUUUCCAUUUCUAAAACAAUUUCCUUUGAACAUUUCAAGUCACUUGUGCCUUUUAUUUAUAAAGCCUAUUUAGACAAUCAAGGAGUUGAAAAUAAUUAGGCCCGCCUGCACAUGAGUGUGGACAUGUAUUCCCUUUCAAUCAGUUAAAACCAGCUCUGUUAAUUAAAGUUCUGAGCUGUUACUCUGCCCAAAUAAUUUUCUUAUUAGCAACCCGCCUUCCUUAGAUCUGUUGUCAGCAGAGCAUAUUUUCUUUUGGUUGCUCCUUUCUAUUUUUUCCUUCUCUCACAGAAAUCCCACUGACCCAUAUAGUUGAUCUCAUUUUUGAAGCGCAUAAUAUAGAUUUCAAGUUGAGAGAACGGAGGCUCUAUUAUUAGUCCCAUUUGAGGUGCACAGUCUCCUUCUAGGUGCUGCUGUGUGCUGCUGAAUUCCCUGAGUGAAGGCAUUACCAUCUCAUUUGGGUGAGGGUGAGAUUACCUCAUGCAACUGAGCUGUUUCAUCACAGAGAAAAUUCAGGGGAGCUGAGCUGUCGCUGCUGACUGUCUAUACAAGGCUGCUGGAGGCUUUCGCAGGUCUCCUAGCAACGGCAAACAAAGGCAGGACCCAUCUCAAGUUUCCUGUGGAGCGGCCAGUCCGGCGUGCCUUUGAUCUUGACUGGGAAAAUAGCUGAGUGGGCACUACUCGCAUUUGUCUUUCAUUUACAACCCCCCCCCUCCAAAAAUGUUCCCUGAAACAGCCAAAUCUUCAUCUGUCCCCAGCAACCAAUGCCCCUCCCGGAUAAUCAACCAUAGCAAAGGAAGGUAGUGAGGCACUAAAAGGUUUAGUUGAAAUUGAAGGUUUUGUUUUGGGGCAUAGUUACUACCUUUAGCAGGCUGUAAUUUGUGGUUCCUCUGUGCAGGAGAAUGAGUGUGUACACCAAAAAUGGUAUUUCAUCCUUUGUUUCUGUUGUUUGUCUGUUGAGUAAGCUCACCGCAGAGUAUCAACCUGUGGUCUCGGGACUUUGAAAUACAGGCCCUAAUAAACACCUGAAGCAUAAGAAGCGUUUUAAUCUGUACGAACUUGGACCAAACUGAAAAAAAGUACUCUUUGUGUUCCAUUAAAAGCCCACAGAGAACUGGGCACACGUUUGAGCGCACGCGGAUUUUGAAAGUCAUGGGGCUAUACCACACAGUUCUCCUAUUUAAGUUCCAUACAACAAAAAAGAAUCUAGGCGGCACAAAUGAAAAUCUUUAUAACUCUAUUCUCAGUGUUUAAUAAUGCUUCCGAAGUAAGUCCCAGGAAUACAACUAAGUGCGUCAUCCUAUGCACGAACACGACCGAGGAUACGCGAGGCAGCGUAUCUCAGGGCUAUUGAAUUUUAUCUCACGCCAGUGCUCGGCUCCGCUUUCAUCCAAAACAGCUCAGACAGCCGAGGAGAUUAAACAGAUUGAAGUGUUACACACUGUUUUGGUGUAAUUUACUGUAAUUGAUGUUUCUAUCUAGUGCCGAGGCCUUCGAAAGCAAUUGCUUGUGUUUGCAGGAAGACAUGCGGCCCAGUGGGGUGUAUUGACUCAGGCUGUUGACUAAUACUGCUCUAUUGGCAUGUUUUAAUGCUCUCCCAUUGUUUGACUUACAGACUCCUCGGUAACACGCACACCUUGCACACUGCUGAAGAUGACGCAGUCAGGGUAUGUUUUGUACCAUCGUUUCUUUCUUUCUCACUCUGAGGCAAUGACCUGGUUCCGGUUUGAAUGGGCCAACAUGGGUUAUCUAACCUGCUGCGACCCGGAUUUACGCUCAUCUCACACACAACAAAAAGAAAACGAGGGUCAAAGGUUACAUUUUCUUGUACAGAUUGACUUGCACAGAAUGCAGUUCUUGUGUUUAACGUCCCAAUAUUUACCAAUUAGAGCAGCCUGGCGUGAGCUUUUCAGCAUAAUGUGGUUUCAUAUUCACAUGGGUGGAGGUUCGCAGAAAGAUAUAGUCCCUGUGUUGAUGUAUGUAAGUUUGAUUAUGUUUCAUAUUAAAAUGUUUGAAAUACAUUUGAAUGUUACACUCUGUUUAGGUGGAACUGAUUUGAACUACUGUACACUCUGCUUGGUAUUUGUCCGCAUCAUUCAUGAUCUUCAGGUUCUGUUACUAACUAUAUACUAACUUUAACUAUAGCUGUGAAAUUAAUGUAGUGAAAUAAAAGGUACGGCUUU